rnacentral:rRNA from 1 species
GACGAACGCUGGCGGCGUGCUUAACACAUGCAAGUCGAACGGAAAGGCCCUGCUUUGUGGGGUGCUCGAGUGGCGAACGGGUGAGUAACACGUGAGUAACCUGCCCUUGACUUUGGGAUAACUUCAGGAAACUGGGGCUAAUACCGGAUAGGAGCUCCUGCUGCCUGGUGGGGGUUGGAAAGUUUCGGCGGUUGGGGAUGGACUCGCGGCUUAUCAGCUUGUUGGUGGGGUAGUGGCUUACCAAGGCUUUGACGGGUAGCCGGCCUGAGAGGGUGACCGGCCACAUUGGGACUGAGAUACGGCCCAGACUCCUACGGGAGGCAGCAGUGGGGAAUAUUGCACAAUGGGCGGAAGCCUGAUGCAGCAACGCCGCGUGCGGGAUGACGGCCUUCGGGUUGUAAACCGCUUUCGCCUGUGACGAAGCGUGAGUGACGGUAAUGGGUAAAGAAGCACCGGCUAACUACGUG